AGCAGCCGCGGUAAUUCCAGCUCCAAUAGCGUAUAUUAAAGUUGUUGCAGUUAAAAAAGCUCGUAGUUGAAUUUCGGGAUCAAUAUAUCGGUCGUGCCUUGGUACGUACUGGUAUCAUUGGUUUCUCCUUUCUGACGAACCAUGAUGUCAUUAAUUUGGUGUUAUGGGAAGUUAGGACUGUUACUUUGAAAAAAUUAGAGUGUUUAAAGCAGGCUUUAGCUUGAAUACAUUAGCAUGGAAUAAUGAAAUAGGACGUUCGAACCUAUUUUGUUGGUUUCUAGGAUCAACGUAAUGAUUAAUAGGGAUAGUUGGGGGCAUUAGUAUUCAAUUGUCAGAGGUGAAAUUCUUGGAUUUACUGAAGACUAACUACUGCGAAAGCAUUUUGCCAAGGAUGUUUUCAUUAAUCAAGAACGAAAGUUAGGGGAUCGAAGACGAUCAGAUACCGUCGUAGUCUUAACCAUAAACUAUGCCGACUAGGGAUCGGAUGAUGUUAAUUUUUUCAAUGACUCAUUCGGCGCCU
rnacentral:rRNA from 1 species